UGGCUGUGGCUGUGGUGUAGGCCAGUGGCUACAGCUUCGAUUCGACCCUUGGCCUGGGAACCUCCAUAUGACACUGGAGCCGCCCAAGAAAUGGCAAAAAGACAAAAAAAAUUUACUUGACUGAAGUAGAGUUGAUUUACGAUGUUGUGUUAGUUUCAGGCGUACAGCAAAGUGACUCGUGUAUUUGUGUGUGUGUGUGUGUGUGUACACGUAUAUCUGAUGUGUAUGUAUAUACACACACAUCCUUUUUCAUACUCCUUUCCAGGGUGGUUUGUCACAGGAUGCUGAAUGUAGUUCGCUGUAGGGCAGGAGCCUGUUGUUUGUCCAUCCUGCAUACGUCUGCCUCUGCGAGACCCAAGCUCACUCCCAGUCCUUCCCUGCCCCACCCGCCUCCCCUUCGGCAGCCACAAGUCUGUUCCCUCUGUCCCAGAGUCUGCUUCUGCCUCGUAGACACGUUCGUUUGUGUUGAGUGUUUGUGAAGUUUCGUUAGAGUUGCUUUACGCGGGUGUGAUCAUGUCCGCUCUGCAACAACGUGAUUCAGGGACCCCUGUACCCACAGCCUUUCUCUCCCAGAUUCUCUUCCCACACAGAGGAUCCCAGAAUAUCGGGUAGAGGUCUCUGGGCUGCACGGCAGGUCCCCACUGGCCAGGACAACUCAGCGUACAGAUGCCAGUCCCAAACCCCAGGCUAUCUCUCCUCCCCCACAACUGUCCGCUUUGGUAACCGUACGCUUGUUUUCGAAGUCUGCCUGUCUGUUUCUGUUCUGCAGAUCAGUUUGUGCCACAUUUGAGACGCCACGUAUAAAUGAUAUCAUGUGACAUUUGUCUUCCACUGUCUGACUGACCUCACUUAGCAGGAGCAUCUCUAGGUCCGUCCCUGUUGCUGCAAACGGCAUCAUUUCACUCUUUUUACGGCUAACACUCCAUCGUGUAUAUGGACUACGUCUUCUUGAUCCAGUCCUCUGUUGAUGGACGUUUGGGGUGCUUCCAUGUCUCAGCUGUUGUGCAUAGAGCUGCAGUGAAUACUAGGGCGCACGUAUCUUUGUGAAUUACUGGUUCCUCCAGAGAGAGGCCCAGGCGUGGGAUUGCUGGUGGCAGUUCUGGUUUUAGUUUUUGCGUCCCCUCCGUACUGUUCCCCACAGUGGCAGCACCAGGUGACCUUCCCACCAGCAGUGUAGGUAGGUGGUUUUCUGAUCCCUGGCCUGGAGGACGAGAGUCCAGAGGGAAAGAGAAACUUUCCAUCCCCUCUUCCCUUCCGUGCAGUUCACGGGAUCCACAAACAACGCCUCCGGGAGAGGAACUGUUUUUAUCCUCAACACACUGAGUUGGAACCGCUAUUAAGAAAACUGCACAAGAACCCAGCUGGGAAGUGAAAGAGCCAAAACGCACUCCCACGCCGCGUUACUCCACAGCCUGCUCACUGCCACGUGUUACUACCCCACGGCUACGGGCGAGGGCUCGCUGCCUGGGGGGCACGGCAGCCAGCACCGCAGGCCCAGCUUUUGAGGAAAGAGGAGGCUUUGUUGCCAGGCCCAUGGCCAGGAAACAGGAGGCAGGGCUUCCAUCUGUCUUUCCCGUCCAGGGUUCAGGGUAAAAUUUAAGGGGUUCAGGGGACUUCAGACGUGGAAGCCAAUGGGCUCGUCUCAGUCUGUAGAAGCUGCUGGACGCCAGACUUUCCUCAUUGAAGGACGUCUCCCUUCCUCAAGGGCCCUGCCUGUAACACUUGCAUCCUUUGGGUCGCAGACUGAAGAGUCUUGGUUCCAGGGUCCCCUGAGAACGUGGGUUCCCAGGCUGGGGGUCCAAUCAGAGCUACAGCUGCUGGCCUCCACCACAGCUCACAGCUACGCCAGAUCCGAGCCUUGUCUGUGACCUAAACCACAGCUCACAGCAAUGCUGGAUCCUUCACCCACCAGAGGCCAGGGAUCAAACUUGCAUCCUCAUGGAUCCUCGUCGGCUUCAUUACCACAAGGGGAACUCUCUCGGGUCUCAUUUUAAAACCCAUUCCUGUUGAUGGAUGAGGUCUACGUAUAUCCUCAGGUGUCUUGAGGGACUUGUGAUCCCCCCGCUUCCCCCCCCACCACACACACACACAGCCCUUCCACACGGAUGGCCGGUUGGGGCUGGAGAAACACAGUUCCCUCCAUCUCUUCAGCACCCCCCACCAGGGGGUGAGAAGCAGCCCUGAGUGUGCAAGGACCUCCCCACCCCUCCGUGUUCGUCUCUCUCCCUUCAUCCUCUCCAUCCCCUGCGUCCAGGACACCUCCGAGCCCUCUCCCUGCACUGUCCCCGCUGAUGAGCAGCAAAACCCCUGGCUGACCACGCUGCCUCCACACCAGCCCUGGACGACUUUCUCCUUUUUAAAAAUCUUCCGCCAUGUUCACUUGACCCAAGGAACCCUUGUGUGACCACGUCGAAGUUUCAUCGGCAUCCCAAGGACAAGCCCCGCGCUCCAGCCUCCGACUCGCUGUGCGGGGGUCUCGGGUGUGCCUCGCAGUGACAGCGCUUCUCCGUCUGAAAGUUACCUUGAUCACAUACCCUUGACACAUUUCAGGAUUUCUUAUGAUCGACGGUGGCGAGAGAGGUUGCCGGCAGCCAAGCGUCCCAAACACACCUUGAAAUGUUCCCAUAACUAGUCGAGUCUGUUUUCCGAAUUGAUUUUACGCCGUUAAGAUGGAAUCAACUGCAAACAUCCCACCCUGUCCGUUGCUGAGCUACAUCUCACGGCAGGGGCAGGUCUUGUCGUGGUGGGGGUGGGUCCUGUGGCGGGGACGGGUCUUGUCACAGUGGGGAUGGGUCUUUUCAUGGCGGGGACGGAUCUUGUUGUUGUGGGGACGGGUCUUUUCAUGGCGGGGAUGGGUCCUGUCAUGGUGGGGACGGGUCUUCUUGUUGUGGGCAUGGGUCCUGUCACAGUGGGGACGGGUCUUUUCAUGUCGGGGAUGGGUCUUGUUGCGGGGAUGGGUCUGGUCACAGCAGGGAUGUGCCAGGGGUUGCAGAUAAAGGGCACUGGUCAGCUUGUAGAUGUUGUGCGUAUGGAGCUGCUGUAUAUAUACCCUUGCAUUCACAUUUUUCUCAGUGUAAGUCCUUUUUUGUAGAUUGAACAGCUCAGAGUGGGAAAUUUGGGUCAAACGGUAAAAGUGUGUUUAAUUAUAAAAGAGAGGGACCAGAGUUCCCUGGUGGCUCAGCGGGUUAAGGAUCCAGCGUUGUCACUGCAGUGGGUUCGAUCUCUGGCCCUGGAACCUCCACAUGCUGCAGGCACGGCCAAAAGAAAUUUUUUAAUAAAAAAUUUUAAAAAGAGACAGACUGUCUUCCUGGUGGAUGCGCCAUUCCACACCCCUCAGCAGCGGUGGGAGUUGCAGCUGCCCCACAACCCUUGGGAGGGUCAGUGGUGCUCCCGAGGCUCCCAGAGGCCAUGUGAUGUCUGACUGCACCCAGCUUCAGUCCUCCCGGGGCUGGUGAUGCAAACCUUUUCAAGUGCCUCCCCAGACCCUUCCUGGUGAACCGUCUGUGCAAGUCUCCUUUUUCAUUUUCUGAUUUUGAUUUCAGGCUGCACCCAUGGCAUGUGAAAAUUCCCAGGCCAGGGAUCAAACCCUCAUCACAGCAGUGACCUGAGCCUCUGCUGUGACAACAUCAGACCCUUAACCCUCUGUGCCACCAGGGAACUCCUGCAAGUCUCUUUUUUUUUAGAGUAAAAGUGUAUAUAUGUAAGGAGUUCCCAUCGUGGCGCAGUGGUUAACGAAUCUGACGAGGAACCAUGAGGUUUCGAGUUCGAUCCCUGGCCUUGCUCAGUGGGUUCAGGAUCUGGCGUUGGCAUGAGCUGUGGUGUAGGUCGCAGACGCGGCUUGGUUCCCGUGUUGCUGUGACUGUGGUGUAGGCCGGUAGCUACAGCUCCGAUCAGACCCCUAGCCUGGAACCUCCAUGUGCCGCGGGUGUGGCCCUAGAAAAGGCAAAAAGACCACAAAAAAGUGCACAUAUGUAAGGUGUACAGCAUGAGUUGUUAUACACACACAUAGUGAAAUGAUUACCACACUAAUUCACAAACACAGUUGCCCUUGAGAGCCCCUGAAAUCUCCCCUCUGAGGAAAUGUCCAGUAUUCCCCACGCUGUUAUUAACCGCAGUCACCGGGCUGCACGCAAGCUCUCUCGACUCACGCACCCCACAGACCUUCAGCCAUCCUCCCCCCCACAACCGCAGUUCUACCCCCGGCUUCUAUGCAUUUGCCGUUUUCAACUUCCACGGGUGUGAAAUCUUUUUUUCUUUUUCUUUCUGUGCCUGGCUUAUGUAAUGUACCCUGCUGUCCUCCAAGCUCACCUGUGUUUGUUUCAAAUGGAAGGACCCCUUUCCUGUUUAAGGCUGCGUCAUAUUCCAUCGUACCUGGACCCCACCAUUUCUUUAUCAGUUCGUCUGUCUGUGGACACGUAGGCUGUUCGGGUCUUUUGCCUGCUUGCUGACUGGCUCAUUUGUCUUUAUGCAGAGAUGUCUUUGUUCCUCUCCCCUCACUGAUUUUAUGAGUAAGCACAUGGAAGCACAGAGAGGUUAAGUGACUUGCCUGAAUAUGCACAGCUGAUAACCAGCAGAGCCAGAAAACAGGAAUCCACGCCACCUCCUUGGUGGGAAGAACAGCAGAGAGGAGAGAGGCCCUUACUCCUUGUGAGUGUGUGUGUGUGUGUGUGUGCACUCAGUUCUGACUUUUACAAACAUGCGGCCAUUCCAUGUUCUGAGACACGCUCCAGACACGGAUUGUUCAAGGAUCUCCACAGGGCCUGGCCGGUACCCACCUCGGGGCCUUUGCACCUGCUAUGCCCUCAGCCAGGAAAGGGGAAGGACUUUCUCUUUCCCGUCAUCCCCUUCUCAUGUCAAGUCUCAGCCCCCACAUCACAGCCUCCGAGGGCCAUGUCCAAACUUACCCUCUGGGGUUGGCUCAUUAAGCUGCUGACCGCCCCUCUUUCCAAGGCGGGUUUAAACUCUACGUGCUCAGGCAGCUUGUUCAGGAUGGGUCAUCCUUCAUCCACCACUGGCUCCCGGGAGGGAGGGACCUGGGUGGGCCUGGCCUCACCAGGUGAACCUUCCAAAGCUGAGCCUUGGCUCAGACUGGUCAGCUGCUCCCAGAGAAACACAGAGACAGGGUCCCGCCGGCCUGGACGAGGAAGAAGCAGCUGCGGUUGUGUGCAUCCCUGGAGGAGGACGCAGCCCCCCUCGGACAGGCAGAGAGACGACUCGCCCCCGAGCCCAGCAGCCGCAGGGGAAGGUCUGCCUGCAGCCAGGCGGGGGCGUGUGCGCGCACAUGCGCGUGUGUGCCCUCGGGUAAGGCCCCGGCCUGGAGAACACGGUGACCGACUCAGCGACCCACGCACGGGACCCUGAGCCGGGAAGCCGGCAUACGGUACCCUUUGUGCCGCCUUAAGCGGCUGAGUCGGUGGUGACUUGUGACACAGCAGCAGAAAACCAGCCCGCCUUCCACGGGCCAUUCCACGGACACUGCCUGACCUGCUCACGGCUGCCCCCGAAGCCCCCACGCAGGGCGGAGGCGGGGGUCCAGGAGGUCUGCUCGGCCCCCCUCGCACCCCCAGACCCUCGUGAUGGGGGCUUCCGUUCUCGAGUUAGAGGGAACGCUUUGGGGCCAUCGGUGAGUUAUGGGACCAGCCGGGUGUCACAGACCUGGUCCCCAGCCUGGCUUUGCUCCUUCUGGCUGGUGUCAGAAGCUCUGUGACCCCAAGCGGUUCCUUCAUAAAGUGGGGCCCGUUCAGUGCCUUCCCCGUGGGCUCGUGGAAUUGAAUAACUGGAUCUGUUUCUAAAGCACUUGGCACAGGGUCUGGAAACGCCGCCGACCUGUUACCUGAAGUCACUGCAUCCAGACCUGCCCUCCCACAUGUAUAACAUCUGUGCCAGGGCACACGCAGGCGCUGUUAAAUGUCUCUCUCACAUACACACACACACAGAGUCCCAAACAGACACCCUCCCCCUUCCAAAGCCCAGAUCAUCAGCAUUUGUUCAGUAGGCACGUCAUUGACACUGAGCAGCCUCAAGACGCUGUGCAGGACGCAUAGGGCAGCAAACUACAUCCUUGCAAAAUACAGCUGCGAAAUGACCGAUUCUCAAACGGUAGAGGGAACACUGCUUAGACACAGAAGGCAGCGGUACAUUUGCCAGACAGAUGGGGAGCGUCGGCGGGUCCCUCCCUGCUCUGGAAAGCUUGCUCGCCCGCGCGCGCGCGCGCUGUGUGCGUGCCAGGCUGCGUUCAAGAGCACCGUUCCCAUCCCCUGGUUGGAAUCUAGCCUGGCUUUCAGCUCGGUGGAAAGGCCGUGGGAUUCUGGAGAGCGGAGGGUCUGUCCUGGCCGCUUGGCCUCGGGUGACAAUUCUUUUUGUUCGAAUCUAAGCAUGGUUGCUCGACAGCCUUGUGCCGGUUUCUGCCGCACAGCAUAGUAACCCACUUGCACACAUGCACACACUCAUUUUUUCACACUGUCUUCCAUCGCAGUCCCUCCCAAGAGACUGGACACGGUUCCCCGUGCUGUACAGCAGGACCUCAUCGCCUAUGCAUUUCCUGUGAAGAUUCUAACGGCUUCUCGCCAUCUGUCCAUAUUCACUGGGGCCCGUCCUGGGUUGAAGGGAGUGAGGCUCUCGGCUUGGGUACAAAUUUUAAGUGUGGGGGUGAGGAGAGUGCAGACAUCUCAGUGAUCAAGAGAGAUAAUUUUUUUUUUUUUUGGUCUUUUUAGGGCCACACCUGCAGCAUAGGGAGGUUCCCAGUCUAGGGGAAUCCAGCUUGGAAUCAGAGCUGUAGCCACCAGCCUACCCCAGAGCCACAGCAAUGCCAGAUCCGAACUGCGUCUGCGACCUACACCACAGCUCACAGCAACACCGGAUCCUUAACCCACUGAGCGAGGCCAGGAAUGGAACUCGCAACCUCAUGGUUCCUGGAUGGAUUCUUUUCCAAUGUACCACGAUGGGAACGCCAAGAGAUAAUAUUUUAAUGCAGCGUUUCCUUAAAAUUUCCCAGUUAAAAUGGUGGGAAAAAUCAACGAGGAAGAAAUGCCCACAUGUUAACGGAAGACGGGCUCUCGCAGGGCUGCGAGUAGGGCAAGGUGAGGCGACGAGUCCUGCAAAGCUCAGGGUGGAAAUGUUGAUGUUGCGCUCCUCACGGACUGGAGGCAUUAUCCUUUCUUUUUUAAGCAAACGGCACUGGCACCGGGGCCUUCUCGUGGCUCAGGAGCCUGAGAAUCAGGCAUGAUCCCUGCAGCAGUUCCCUUCGCUGCUGCAGUGUGGCUGCGCGACCUGGCCGGGGACUUUCGCGUGCCUCUGCUGCGCAGUAUUGCCCUGAGUCCUGAGGACUCGGCUUCCCUUACGUGGUGCGCCCAGGUGAACACCUCGGGGGCCCGCCAGCCCCUCCCCCCGCAGCAUCUCUGAUCCUUUCUCUCUGUCCCCACCGUGAAUACCCUCGUUCUUUCCACCACCGCGUCUGGCUGGAGCCGGCACAGCAAACUCCCCGCCACCUGCUGCAUCCUGGUCUGGACACGACCUCCAAGCUGCUGGCACUGAAACUCGGGGUGACUUCCUCCGCAAACCCUCCCCCCAAAGCCCACUCCCAUCAUCCUCUCCCACCGUCUAGAUGUCUCCCCCCUGCCUCCCCCACCCCCAUCCCCACCAUCGCCCAGUUUGGGUUAUAGCAACUGAUGCUGCUAUUUUCUCACCUCUUUUCAGUUCUCUGCGCCAUUUCCCAGGGUGGGGGACCGGUCACACAAGUGUGAUGUCAUUUCAGAUGGUCCGGCUCCAAGGACAAUUAAACUUUACCAUACAAUGUUAUACCCUUGGGAGUUCCCGUGGUGGCUCAGUGGAUUAAGAACCCGACACAGUGUCUGCGAGGAUGCGGGUUCAAUCCCUGGCCUCGCUCAGUAGGUUAAGGACCUGGCACUGCCACAAGCUGUGACUUAGAUAACAGAUGCGGCUCGGAUCCCGCAUUCCUGUGGCUGUGGUGUAGGUGGGCAGCUUCAGCUCCCACUCGACCCCUCGCCUGGGAACCUCCAUGUGCUGCAGGUGCCACUGUAAAAGGAAAAAAAAAAAAA
rnacentral:lncRNA from 9 species